rnacentral:rRNA from 1 species
CCUACGGGUGGCAGCAGUGAGGAAUAUUGGUCAAUGGGCGCGAGGCUGAACCAGCCAAGUAGCGUGAAGGAUGACUGCCCUACGGGUUGUAAACUUCUUUUAUAAGGGAAUAAAGUGAGCCACGUGUGCCUUUUUGUAUGUACUUUAUGAAUAAGCAUCGGCUAACUCCGUGCCAGCAGCCGCGGUAAUACGGAGGAUCCGAGCGUUAUCCGGAUUUAUUGGGUUUAAAGGGAGCGUAGAUGGGUUGUUAAGUCAGUUGUGAAAGUUUGCGGCUCAACCGUAAAAUUGCAGUUGAUACUGGAAGACUUGAGUACAGUUGAGGUAGGCGGAAUGCGUGGUGUAGCGGUGAAAUGCUUAGAUAUCACGAAGAACUCCGAUUGCGAAGGCAGCUUACUAAGCUGCCACUGACAUUGAUGCUCGAAAGUGUGGGUAUCAAACAGGAUUAGAUACCCUUGUAGUC